rnacentral:rRNA from 1 species
GUAGGUGGCGAGCGUUGUCCGGAUUUACUGGGCGUAAAGAGCGCGCAGGCGGUUGGUCAAGUCGAAUGUGAAAGCCCCCGGCUCAACUGGGGAGGGUCAUUCGAUACUGGUCGACUCGAAGGCAGGAGAGGGACGUGGAAUUCCCGGUGUAGUGGUGAAAUGCGUAGAUAUCGGGAGGAACACCAGUGGCGAAGGCGGCGUUCUGGCCUGUUCUUGACGCUGAGGCGCGAAAGCCAGGGGAGCGAACGGGAUUAGAUACCCCGGUAGUCCUGGCUGUAAACGAUGGACACUAGGUGUUGGUGGUAUCAACCCCGCCAGUGCCGUAGCUAACGCAUUAAGUGUCCCGCCUGGGGAGUACGGCCGCAAGGCUA